CUGAACACAAAUGAUGACAAACUGCUGA
rnacentral:piRNA from 1 species